rnacentral:rRNA from 1 species
UACGUAGGGGGCAAGCGUUGUCCGGAAUCAUUGGGCGUAAAGAGCGUGUAGGCGGCCCGGUAAGUCCGCUGUGAAAGUCCAGGGCUCAACCCUGGGAUGCCGGUGGAUACUGUCGGGCUCGAGUCCGGAAGAGGCGAGUGGAAUUCCGUGGUGUAGCGGUGAAAUGCGCAGAUAUCAGGAGGAACACCAAUGGCGAAGGCAGCUCGCUGGGACGUGACUGACGCUGAGACGCGAAAGCGUGGGAGCAAACAGG